GAAAUGCGAUAAGUAAUGUGAAUUGCAGAAUUCAGUGAAUCAUCGAAUCUUUGAACGCACCUUGCGCUCCUUGGUAUUCCUUGGAGCAUGCCUGUUUGAGUAUCAUGAAAUCUUCAAAGUAAAUCUUUUGUUAACUCAAUUGGUUUCUACUUUGGUAUUGGAGGUCUUUGCAGCUUCACACCUGCUCCUCUUUGUUCAUUAGCUGGAUCUCAGUGUUAUGCUUGGUUCCACUCGGCGUGAUAAGUUAUCUAUCGCUGAGGACACUGUAAAAGGUGGCCAAGGUAAAUGCAGAUGAACCGCUUCUAAUAGUCCAUUGACUUGGACAAUACUUUUAUUAUCUGAUCUCAAAUCAGGUAGGACUACCCGCUGCACUUAAGC
rnacentral:misc_RNA from 1 species